GCUUAACACAUGCAAGUCGAGGGGCAGCACAAGGCAGCAAUGCUGAGGUGGCGACCGGCGCACGGGUGCGUAACGCGUAUCCAACCUUCCCGUUACUCAUGGAUAGCCUUCCGAAAGGGAGAUUAAUACAUGAUGGUGUUGAAAUUCCGCAUGUUAUUUCAACUAAAGAUUUAUCGGUAACGGAUGGGGAUGCGUGACAUUAGAUAGAUGGCGGGGUAACGGCCCACCAUGUCCGCGAUGUCUAGGGGUUCUGAGAGGAAGGUCCCCCACACUGGAACUGAGACACGGUCCAGACUCCUACGGGAGGCAGCAGUGAGGAAUAUUGGUCAAUGGCCGGAAGGCUGAACCAGCCAAGUAGCGUGAAGGAUGAAGGUUCUAUGGAUUGUAAACUUCUUUUAUGAGGGAAUAAAACCUCCCACGUGUGGGAGCUUGUAUGUACCUUAUGAAUAAGCAUCGGCUAACUCCGUGCCAGCAGCCGCGGUAAUACGGAGGAUGCGAGCGUUAUCCGGAUUUAUUGGGUUUAAAGGGAGCGUAGGCGGGAUAUUAAGUCAGUCGUCAAAGCCUGUGGCUCAACCACAGCCCGCGAUUGAUACUGGUAACCUUGAGUGCGGAUGAGGUGGAUGGAAUUCGUGGUGUAGCGGUGAAAUGCUUAGAUAUCACGAA
rnacentral:rRNA from 1 species